AAGCCUCGUACUCCAAAUUCGUCGUCGUCAGAAACUUCUAGUGCGAACCUGUCCGUUUCUGUUUUCCUCCCCCAAAUACCAUACGACUCGGUAAAUAACUCUAACGGUUAUUACACACCGAAAAUUUCUUGUCUUCAAAACGUUUAUACAUUUUCUCCAUACAAAAAUGUCAAACAACAAGAGAAAUUUAUUUAAAUUCGCUAUGAGGCGCCAAAAAACUUUUCGUCCUAAGAAAACGUGAUUUAUCGUAUCUUAUAUAUACGUAAUAAAAACCCGCAAAAAACCAAUUUUCUUCUCCUCGCUCCAUCCUCGUGUCAUAAAAAUCGCAUUCCAUUCUCGUCAAGUAUAUUCCUUUCACACACCCGCCAUCUUUCUUUUUCGCAGAUGCCAUUUUGUUUUCAGACCCCGAGCGAUUCCAGACACUUUCUCCCCCUUCCUCUACUAUUUCGUCUGGUAUUUCGACAAUCAAUCAUACACAUGGGGCACUAUGGGCAGAGUCAAUCACGCGCCGGGCAGCUUUGACUUCAGCCAAUCAGAACGCCCCCACUAAUUACAUAAACCAGACAUUUAUUUAUGCGGCAUAGAGAUUAAUCCCACAGGAGCUAGUUCACAGGAAAUCUACUGUACUUACGAAAAUUUGCGGUGUUUUUGUUAUGUUAUAACAUGAGAAAAAAGAUAUAAUGUAAAAUAUAAGAAAUAUAAAGAUCGAGAUGAUCGAGUGUAUUUGGUAA